GAUGAACGCUGGCGGCGUGCCUAAUACAUGCAAGUCGAGCGAACAGAUGAGGAGCUUGCUCCUCUGACGUUAGCGGCGGACGGGUGAGUAACACGCGGAUAACCUACCUAUAAGACUGGGAUAACUUCGGGAAACCGGAGCUAAUACCGGAUAAUAUAUUGAACCGCAUGGUUCAAUAGUGAAAGACGGUUUUGCUGUCACUUAUAGAUGGAUCCGCGCCGCAUUAGCUAGUUGGUAAGGUAACGGCUUACCAAGGCAACGAUGCGUAGCCGACCUGAGAGGGUGAUCGGCCACACUGGAACUGAGACUCGGUCCAGACUCCUACGGGAGGCAGCAGUAGGGAAUCUUCCGCAAUGGGCGAAAGCCUGACGGAGCAACGCCGCGUGAGUGAUGAAGGUCUUCUGAUCGUAAAACUCUGUUAUUAGGGAAGAACAAAUGUGUAAGUAACUAUGCACGUCUUGACGGUACCUAAUCAGAAAGCCACGGCUAACUACGUG
rnacentral:rRNA from 1 species